GCAGCAACUAAUGAUGUCACUUUUAUUGUUUUUCAAAAUUUCACUAAUAUGUAAUUCACUAAUUUCACUAAUAUGUAAUUCACUAAGAUUUCAUUACAUGGGUUUCUUGUUACAAAUAUAUUCUGGUGUCUGGUUUACAAGUUAUUAGCUUUUCUUGAAACCUUUCAUAAAACCUUUAACCCAUUAAGCUGCAGAGCUUCCCCACUAACGAGUAAAAUCGUUAGACAAGUAAAAUGGCGUUAGACAAGUAAAAAAAAGUAGGGCGCAAUGGGGCGCAUUGCGGCUCAAUGGGUUAAAUUCAAAGUUCUUCAUUAAUAUAAUAUUUAAUGCUAGAUUUCUAAACAGUUUUUAUUUAUUGUAAUUUAUAAGAUCUAAAAGCAUCGGAAUUUAUAAUGAACUCAUCCAAUCAAUUGGGUCAUUCCAGAAAACAUUCAUACCACCCCCAUGGAGGAAAUUGAAAGUUAAUCCCCCUACCCCCUUGUGAUGUCCUAAUACAUUUACUAUUAUCAGAAACAAUUUUGUCUCCCCUCCCCCUCCGGACAGCAGAAAUUUCCUCCGUGGGGGGAGUAUGGACCCUUACGAAAAAAUCCUAUAGGAUUCUAUAGAAAUUCCUAUAGGAAAUGCCAUUUCCUAUAGGAAUUCCUAUAGGAUCCUAUAGGAAUAGAAUUCCUAUAGGAAUUUCCUAUAGCAAUUCCUAUAGGAUCCUAUAGGAAUAGAAUUCCUAUAGGAAUUUCCUAUUGGAAUUACUAUAGUAUCCUAUAGGAAUAGACUUUCUAUAGGAAUAUCCUAUAGGAAUAGAAUUCAUAUUGGAAUUUCC